rnacentral:rRNA from 1 species
UGUGAUGGGGAGCGAAAUUUAGUAGCGAAGUAGCUGAUUUCACACUGUCAAGAAAAGUCUCUAUCGAGGUUAAAGGUACCCGUACCGCAAACCGACACAGGUGGGUGAGGAGAGUAUCCUAAGGCCAGCGAGAGAACUGUUGUUAAGGAACUCGGCAAAAUGACCCCGUAACGUAGGGAUAAGGGGUGCCACCAUCAGGUGGCCGCAGAGAAUAGGC